GACGAACGCUGGCGGCGUGCUUAACACAUGCAAGUCGAACGGAAAGGCCUCUUUCGGGGGGUACUCGAGUGGCGAACGGGUGAGUAACACGUGAGUAACCUGCCCUUGACUUUGGGAUAACUUCAGGAAACUGGGGCUAAUACCGGAUAGGAGCUCCUGCUACAUGGUGGGGGUUGGAAAGUUUCGGCGGUUGGGGCUGGACUCGCGGCUUAUCAGCUUGUUGGUGGGGUAGUGGCUUACCAAGGCUUUGACGGGUAGCCGGCCUGAGAGGGUGACCGGCCACAUUGGGACUGAGAUACGGCCCAGACUCCUACGGGAGGCAGCAGUGGGGAAUAUUGCACAAUGGGUGGAAGCCUGAUGCAGCAACGCCGUGUGCGGGAUGACGGCCUUCGGGUUGUAAACCGCUUUCGCUCAUGACGAAGCUUUGUGUGACGGUAGUGGGUAAAGAAGCACCGGCUAACUACGUG
rnacentral:rRNA from 1 species